UACGUAGGGUGCGAGCGUUGUCCGGAAUUACUGGGCGUAAAGAGCUCGUAGGUGGUUUGUCGCGUUGUUCGUGAAAACUCACAGCUUAACUGUGGGCGUGCGGGCGAUACGGGCAGACUGGAGUACUGCAGGGGAGACUGGAAUUCCUGGUGUAGCGGUGGAAUGCGCAGAUAUCAGGAGGAACACCGGUGGCGAAGGCGGGUCUCUGGGCAGUAACUGACGCUGGAGACGCGAAAGCGUGGGGAGCGAACAGG
rnacentral:rRNA from 1 species